UGCGGUUGAUACAAAAACCACUUUCCCAAGCUCCUAUCGCUGUGAAACUGCCAAAAUAGCGUUUUCAGAGCCU